rnacentral:rRNA from 1 species
AUUGAACGCUGGCGGCAUGCUUUACACAUGCAAGUCGAACGGUAACAGGGAGCUUGCUCCGCUGACGAGUGGCGAACGGGUGAGUAAUGCGUCGGAACGUGCCGAGUAGUGGGGGAUAACGCAUCGAAAGGUGUGCUAAUACCGCAUACGUACUGAGGUAGAAAGUGGGGGACCUUCGGGCCUCACGCUAUUCGAGCGGCCGGCGUCUGAUUAGCUAGUUGGUGAGGUAAAGGCUCACCAAGGCGACGAACAGUAGCGGGUCUGAGAGGAUGAGCCGCCACACUGGGCCUGAGACCGGGCCCAGACGCCUACGGGAGGCAGCAGUGGGGAAUUUUGGACAAUGGGCGCAAGCCUGAUCCAGCCAUGCCGCGUGUCUGAAGAAGGCCUUCGGGUUGUAAAGGACUUUUGUCCGGGAGCAAAUGCCUGGUGUUAAUAGCAUCGGGAGCUGAGAGUACCGGAAGAAUAAGCACCGGCUAACUACGUGCCAGCAGCCGCAGUAACAC